UUUUCAAUUUUCAAGUUUUUUUUUUUUUUUUUUUUUUUUUUUUUUUUUAAAUUGUUAUUUUUUAUUGGAUUCUAUAAAUUAACUGGACCUAGUUGACAACAGGUUUGUAAUUAGCUUCAAAUUAAUUGUUUAUCUCUUGCUACAAACCGUAACUUAAUGAAGAAAAGCACACCUAUGAACUGACAGUAUUCGGAUUCAUCAUAGCGCCUAGUCUCCUACCAAGUGGAAAUAUAAACAACCAUCUCCAUCACUAAAAAUAGUAGCCUGCCACUUCAAAAAGUAGUUACUACAACUGUUAUGCAUGACUUGGGAUUUCCAAGUUAAUAUCUUUGAGGAUCCUCCUUCAGGUCCAAUUUUAAUCAGUAUUGCAUGCAAUUUGUUCUUUUUAUAGUGUAUCAUGUCAGAAUUUUGAUUUGAAUAGAUGUGGUCUAUCGUUUUUAGAUAAAAGAUUGAUGAUAUAAUUCUUGUUUUGCUUUGUGAAUAUUUUGAUGAA